GAUGAACGCUGACAGAAUGCUUAACACAUGCAAGUCGAUGGGGAAGUGGUGCUUGCACCAUGGCAACCAUGGCGGACGGGUGAGUAACGCGUAAGGGACUUACCUGCAGGACUGGGAUAACAGGGGGAAACUCCUGACAAGACCGGAUAAUGUCAUGGAGCUGCAUGGCUUUAUGAUGAAAGGAGACGCCUGCGGAGAGCCUUGCGUCCUAUUAGCUAGUUGGUGAGGUAAUGGCUCACCAAGGCGAAGAUAGGUAGCCGGCCUGAGAGGGUGGACGGCCACAAGGGGGCUGAGAGACGGCCCUUACUCCUACGGGAGGCAGCAGUGGGGAAUAUUGGACAAUGGGGGCAACCCUGAUCCAGCAAUUCUGUGUGCACGAAGAAGGUUUUCGGAUUGUAAAGUGCUUUCAGCAGGGAAGAAGUAAGUGACGGUACCUGCAGAAGAAGCGACGGCUAAAUACGUG
rnacentral:rRNA from 1 species